rnacentral:rRNA from 1 species
AAGGGUAGCAAUACCUGAGUAAAGUGGCGCACGGGUGAGUAACACGUGACUAACCUACCCUGGAGUGGGGGAUAACUGAGGGAAACCUUAGCUAAUACCGCAUAACACCUACGGGUCAAAGGAGCAAUUCGCUUUGGGAGGGGGUCGCGGCCGAUUAGUUAGUUGGCGGGGUAAUGGCCCACCAAGACAGUGAUCGGUAUCCGGCCUGAGAGGGCGCACGGACACACUGGAACUGAAACACGGUCCAGACUCCUACGGGAGGCAGCAGUGGGGAAUUUUGCGCAAUGGGGGAAACCCUGACGCAGCAACGCCGCGUGGAGGAUGAAGUCCUUCGGG